rnacentral:rRNA from 1 species
AGUGAACGCUGGCGGUAGGCCUAACACAUGCAAGUCGAACGGCAGCACAGUAAGAGCUUGCUCUUACGGGUGGCGAGUGGCGGACGGGUGAGGAAUACAUCGGAAUCUACUUUUUCGUGGGGGAUAACGUAGGGAAACUUACGCUAAUACCGCAUACGACCUACGGGUGAAAGCAGGGGAUCUUCGGACCUUGCGCGAUUGAAUGAGCCGAUGUCGGAUUAGCUAGUUGGCGGGGUAAAGGCCCACCAAGGCGACGAUCCGUAGCUGGUCUGAGAGGAUGAUCAGCCACACUGGAACUGAGACACGGUCCAGACUCCUACGGGAGGCAGCAGUGGGGAAUAUUGGACAAUGGGCGCGAGCCUGAUCCAGCCAUACCGCGUGGGUGAAGAAGGCCUUCGGGUUGUAAAGCCCUUUUGUUGGGAAAGAAAAACAGCAGGUUAAUACCCCGCUGUUCUGACGGUACCCAAAGAAUAAGCACCGGCUAACUUCGUG